UGUCAUUGCCAGGAUUUUGCAUCCUGCAUUAGUAGCCCAAUUGCGCGAAUAUGGCUGUCGCUUCUCCCAAGGACUGAUCAUUUGACCAUAGAUUUUGUCCACCAAAAAUACUUUCCAAUUGCGAAACACAACAUCAUAGUUCACCUGGAAUUGGGCUCAGAGUGGAAUCAAUUACAAGCCUCUAGAUUUUUGAAUCUACUGUUGUGGAGAUUUGAUGCUCCAAUACUUCAAGAGUUUGGAUGAAUGAUAAACCAGAGAUCAUCUAGUCCAUCAUUACUUGAGGGAUUUGAGAAAUCAAUGGCCAAUAUUCCCCACCAAAUUCACACUUCGGUUGCAACAAACGGCAAACAACGAUAUCUAGCGAAGUAAUGGACGACGGCAGCCCUUCUUCAGGCAGGGAUUGAAGAUUAUAGCAUCGAUCUAUCCUCAAUUUUUUAAGAGAGGUGAGGUGCAGAAGCCCCUUGUCCAGAAACUUCAGAUUCUCAAGACUGAAGAGAUUAAGUGAGGUAAGAGUGGAUGGCAGCAGCAUCUUCCCAGGAAAGGAGACCAUGUCAACGCCAUCGUACCCAUCAAUGGUAAGCUCCAAAAGAGAGGACACUGCUCGCAAAUCCCAAUGCAUGAGGUGAGCAAUGAGUUUGCUGCACUGAUAAAUGCGAAGUGAUUCUAAUUGAGAUGGCAAAACCCCUCCCAGAAACAACUCAAGCAUUGGACAAUUGACUACAGUCAAAUUUUUGAGGUCUUGAAGUCCCUUGUAGUCUAUGGAUUUCAGGUUUUGAAAAUCAUUAAUUUCAAGAGAGAUAAGAGUAGAUGGCAGCAGCAUCUCCCCUGGAAAAGCUUCCACAUCGUCACAGCUUUCAAUAGCAAAUUUCACAAGAGAGGGGAGGGUUUGCAGAUCCCAUUGCAUGUGGCCUGCGAUCAGUUCGUUGCAAUGGCCAACAUCCAGCGAUUCUAAUUUUUCAGGCAAACAUCCUUUUGGGAAUGGCUCGAGUUGUGGACAAUAACGGAUAAUUAGAGAAGAAAGGGAGGAGGGUAGCCCAUCCUUAGGAAACGACUCUAGCACUGGACAACGCAUCAUACUCAAAUCAACAAGGGAAGAGAGAAGAGAGCGCAUAAUCUGAGGUAGUGACUUCAAACUCGAGCAAUCAUAUAAUGAAAGUCUUGUCAAAUUUGAGGCGGGCAAUCCUCCUUCAGGAAAAGAUACGAAAUAAUGGCAUUCCUCAAUUUGCAAGGAAUCAAGAGAUGUAAAAUUCGCAUUUGCCUCAGGUGUUAAAAAAUCAUCCAGAUUUCCACAUCUUCCUACUUUGAGAGUCUUGACCUCACUAAACAAUUUUAGUGGAAAGCUCCCAAGUGAAUAAGAGUUAUAGAUUACAAUUUCUUCUAAAGCAAUAGGAAGAAGACCAAUUCUUUCCAUUAUCUCCGUUGCAAACUCGAAUCUAUAACUUAUGAGGCUGUACAACCCAGAAGGCAGUUUCUUCAAUUGCACAUCUGCAGUAAUCACUCUAAGUAUAGCUGGAGCGCUUUGAAGUGCAGCUGCAAACUGCUGACAACCACCAACAUCUAGUGUUGUUAAACAAGGAAGAUGACCAGGCAGGGCAACCCUCUCUAGGUUGUUACUUCUCCUUACGUGGAGCUCUUGAAGGACAGGAAAGGCUCCUUCACAUGAAAUCCACUCACGCCAUCCUCUCAUAUAUGAAAAUCUCAGAACUUUCAACGAUCCAAAUGGCUUCUUCAUGGAUGCGCAACUUCCAUAGAACUCACGACCAACAACCUCCACUUUAUAGAAGUAUCCAAUAGUAAGGUAUUCUAGAGAUGGUAGCUGCCCAAGUGGUGGCAAAGAAGAGCAGUUUCCACAUCCAGUCAACUCCAGCGACACCAUACAAGAAAAAGAAGAGUGUCCUACCCAAUCUGGAAAUCUGGUACCUCCAUAACCAUAAAUUGAAAGAUAGUCCAACCCUUUAUGGGGUUCUAACGACUCCAGCACACUUUUUUCAUGCUUCGGAUCAAUACUAGCUUGGAUGUCCCAGUCCCAUCUCAACUCCAAUUUCACAAGUUUCUCCUUACCGCACAAGUUGGCUUCUGCAGCAUCUUUGGCCUUCUCAACGUGCUGGAGAUUCCAGAUACAAAGCUCUCCCUGAAGUUCUUGAAGCUUCCCCAAUUCCUUGAUGCUAGACACGCUCUGUUUUCCUAGAAAGAAAUCAGUCAACUUCCGGAGCUUUUUGAGUUCACCCAUUUGUGGUGGCAUCUCUUGCAGUUCAGUUCCUCUAAUGUCAAGAUGACAUAAUUUGAUUAAUUUUGACAAGUUACUCGGCAACGCAACUAAGUUUGGACACUCACGCAAGAUCAAAAUUUGCAAGAAAUACAGUUUGGUAGGUGUGGAGAAGCUUUUGAUUGAUGUUCCAGAGAGAUUCAGAUAUCGUAGUAGCUUGAAUUUGCUAAUUGAAUCACUCAAAUCAACCAUUUGAUACUGAGAUAAAGAUAGUACUCGUAGGGGACGACCGAGUGUCUGCAAUAAACCAUGUAUUACCUCAUCAGUCUUGAGAGUCGACCGCCUUUUGAGAGUCGACCGCCUCUCCAACGAUAUGAAAGUACGAAAAACAUUGUCUUUACAAGCGCCUGAAAAUUUCUGGAGUGAAUCAAGAUCCACAUCUGCAUACGAGACAUGACGGGUCCUCUUAACAAUGU
rnacentral:misc_RNA from 1 species